rnacentral:rRNA from 1 species
GGAUAACAUUUGGAAACAGAUGCUAAUACCGCAUAAGAUUACAGUACCGCAUGAUACAGUGAUCAAAGGAGCAAUCCGCUGAAAGAUGGGCUCGCGUCCGAUUAGAUAGUUGGUGAGGUAACGGCUCACCAAGUCGACGAUCGGUAGCCGGACUGAGAGGUUGAACGGCCACAUUGGGACUGAGACACGGCCCAGACUCCUACGGGAGGCAGCAGUGGGGAAUAUUGCACAAUGGGCGAAAGCCUGAUGCAGCAACGCCGCGUGAGGGAAGACGGUUUUCGGGUUGUAAACCUCUGUUUUCGGUGACGAACAAAUGACGGUAACCGAGUAGGAAGCCACGGCUAACUACGUGCCAGCAGCCGCGGUAAUACGUAGGUGGCAAGCGUUAUCCGGAAUUACUGGGUGUAAAGGGAGCGCAGGCGGGAUAGCAAGUCAGCUGUGAAAACUAUGGGCUCAACCCAUAAACUGCAGUUGAAACUGUUAUUCUUGAGUGGAGUAGAGGCAAGCGGAAUUCCGAGUGUAGCGGUGAAAUGCGUAGAUAUUCGGAGGAACACCAGUGGCGAAGGCGGCUUGCUGGGCUCUAACUGACGCUGAGGCUCGAAAGUGUGGGGAGCAAACAGGAUUAGAUACCCUGGUAGUCCACACUGUAAACGAUGAUUGCUAGGUGUGGGGGGUCUGACCCCCUCCGUGCCGGAG